UACAGAGGGGGCGAGCGUUAUUCGGAAUUAUUGGGCGUAAAGGGCGCGUAGGCGGCUUUUCAAGUGACGGGUGAAAUCCCUCGGCUUAACCGAGGAACUGCCUGUCAGACUGGAAGGCUUGAGACUGGGAGAGGUGAGUGGAAUUCCCAGUGUAGCGGUGAAAUGCGUAGAUAUUGGGAGGAACACCAGUGGCGAAGGCGGCUCACUGGACCGGAACUGACGCUGAGGCGCGAAAGCGUGGGGAGCAAACAGG
rnacentral:rRNA from 1 species